UGACAAACCGGAGGAAGGUGGGGAUGACGUCAAGUCCUCAUGGCCCUUAUAGUGGGCUACACACGUCAUACAAUGGAUGGUACAAAGGGUCGCCAACCCGCGAGGGGGAGCCAAUCCCAUAAAGCCAUUCGUAGUCCGGAUCGCAGUCUGCAACUCGACUGCGUGAAGUCGGAAUCGCUAGUAAUCGUGGAUCAGAAUGUCACGGUGAAUACGUUCCCGGGUCUU
rnacentral:rRNA from 1 species